rnacentral:tRNA from 1 species
UUAAAAUUAGUUAAAUAUAUAACAUUAAUUUGUCAAAUUAAAAUUAUUUUAAUAAAAAUAUCUUCAU